AAAAAAAAAACUAAAUAUUAAAUCCCUUAAUCCAUUCAAUUUUAUUUAUGAACUUAAACUCCAACAGCGUAACCAACUUUCGUAAUUCUUUUUAAAACUCUCCUUGAUAUAAAUAUCAAGAAAAUAUCGUAAUAAAAUAUUAACCCGUUAUGCCAUAGUCCAUAGAAAACAACGAUAAACUCCCAUGCAAUAAACCAAUUACCAAAAAUACUCUUGGAACCGCCGCCGAUCAAAAAGUACCGUAAUGUACCCAAUUGGACCUAAUCAAAUAUAUCCACCGUCAAAACACAAAUUUGAUAUACUCGUUCUUAUCGUAUUG
rnacentral:lncRNA from 1 species